rnacentral:lncRNA from 1 species
CCAUGCCUUUAAUUUGAGGUAAAGAAAGUUCUUUUUUUCUGUUCGUUCAAACCGAAAAAAAUAUGCUCACAAUUUGGAACAAUGGAGGAACAUCAAGCGAAGCAGAGAGAUGGAGCAUGAGUGACCUGGUAGAGGAUCAUGCUAGGGGUCUCACCAUACCAAUUGGAUUAAAAGGGAAAGCAUGGAAAAAAAGAUCUGACAAAGAAUUGAGAGGAAAAAAAUACUCUCGUCUCCUGGAUCUUAGAAAAAAGUAAAGGGACGGAUGAAAAUUUUGCUUUUUAUGGAGGAUCAUUGCAGAUGAUGAGA